GAGGUCCCUUUACUACAGUUCAGAGUCGCGGACCUUCAGUAAUAGUAAUAAAUCACACAGCAACAGUACAUUCACGUUGUUGUAAAAAGCAUGAUAAUAUUGUAGCGGGUCAGGGCUGUUCGGGGUUCUUCUUGUACAGUUAUGUUUUGUGUAUGUUGCCAUGGUGACGGGUGACGCCCUCUCGCUGCGACGGUGUGUCCUUCCGGGGUCAGAGGGCGCCCUAUGUGUGUUGUGGUUGCCGCGCUGAGCAGUUAGCUAGUGGCAGUGUGUUCUUCUGCAAAUGUUAUAAACGGCUGUGCUCCCUGGCUAGCUCACGGGAAGCAAGACCAAACGAUACCUCCGUCUCCUCCUUGUCUGAACUCGCCACAAUAUAUUAAGUAAUCCAAAGUAUUCAGAAUACGUUACUGUCAUUGAGUAACGUAACGGAAUAGGUUACAGAAUACAUUUUGGGGCAUGUAUUCUGUAUUGGAAUACAUUUUAAAAGUAACCUUCCCAACACUGUUUAGAAGCUACUCAUAGCCUCGCUUUGACCUCUGAUCUGACCUCUUACUGCCCUCAGGUACCAGUAUGCAGAAGCCUAAAUUAAAUGAAAGUGACUUACAUUAAACUAAACAGGACGUGUGACAAAACCAAAGCUUCUGCCUGGAAUGAGGUCCCAGCAGUCACGGUGUCUUUGGAAAAGUAAUAAAAUGCCUUAAUGUCGCAGGUUCCUGGUCCCUGUCAAACCGCUUUAGUUUGAGUCUCUGCGGCCUGACGAGGCGACGCUGCAAACGUUUACUCAGCAAACUGAAGCGUCGAACACAGCAGUGAAGCGAGGCUCGAGAGGCUGGUGCUGAGAAAUGCUUCCUGCACUUUUUCGAGCUUCACUCGUUGUUUCAGGUUUUAUUUUGUUGUCACUGUGAUGCACUUUUUAAAGCGAAUGAUUGUGUUGUAGGUCAUCAUUACUGACAUUUUCCUGCUCUGUAACACUUUCAGCAGCUCUGCUGUCUCAGAAUAAUAUUUUCUUCUAUGUGAACUUUGUUUACAAACACAUUUCAUGCAGAGAAUAAAAGAAGAAGAAAAUCAAUUUGCAUAAGAUUAGAAAGUAACGGUGCAGCUGUAGUGUCCAUCUGUGGCCUGCAGGGGGCAGCGCAGUCUCAGGAGCUGCUCUCAGUAUAUUAAAUAUGAGUUUUAUAAGUUUCUGAAGAGCGAAGUUUUUCCUGCACAGCUGUGAGGAGAGAGGCUGACGCUGCUUACUCUGAAAUCAGACCAUUCUUCAUUUUUCAAAAUCAAUUAAAAAAAUCUGAUGAUCAACAAACCAAAGACUCACUAUUUCUUUGCUGUAUGAGAACUUUAGUGUGUGUGUGCGCACUGAGGUCAUGUGACUGGUUUGGUAGGUUCUGGUUGGCUCUCUAGGAGACGUUUCCAGAAAUCUGCUCCAGUUUUCCUCUGA
ensembl:lncRNA